rnacentral:rRNA from 1 species
CAGCCGCCGCGGUAAUACGUAGGUGACAAGCGUUGUCCGGAAUUAUUGGGCGUAAAGGGCUCGCAGGCGGUUUCUUAAGUCUGAUGUGGAAGCCCCCGGCUCAACCGGGGAGGGUCAUUGGAAACUGGGAAACUUGAGUGCAGAAGAGGAGAGUGGAAUUCCACGUGUAGCGGUGAAAUGCGUAGAGAUGUGGAGGAACACCAGUGGCGAAGGCGACUCUCUGGUCUGUAACUGACGCUGAGGAGCGAAAGCGUGGGGAGCGAACAGGAUUAGAUACCCCUGUAGUCCCUGUCUCUUAUAC